ACAACAACAACAAAGCCUUUUCCCACUAAGUGGGGUCGGCUAUAUGAAUCCUAGAACGUCAUUGCGCUUGUUCGCUUGUUUCUAUGUCACAUCUUCCGUGUAAAUAAAAAGACUGAAAACUAAUAAACUAACUAUGAUUAAACCAGAAGUCGGAAAGAAAAAGCUGAAAGGUAACCGUGCUCAUCUGAAUUCUUGAACCCUACUACUAGUAUAAAAACAAGAGCUGACGCUACUUGAUUCACGCAAGGCGUGUAUACUCCGUGUAAAGUCCUCUUCCUCCUGCUCCGCUUCUAGAUGAUGAUGAUACUGAGCAAGCAAAUCAAGAGAACAUGGAGAACCGAGGCCCGUGGCCUUCCAAUGUUUCCAACCACAACUGGAAAAAUAAUGAUUUGAAAGGGAAGGAACGGGAUGAUGGUGAUGAGCAGAGUAAUGUGAUCAGGUUCAGUAGCUUGAUGUAUAUGAUCUUGAUUUGUGUCUUCAUCAUCCUCUCAUCCAAUAUGAUUAAAGAAUUCAGCGAUCAAGUCCUCCUCAUCAUCCAACUCUCUUUCAUCCGUGGUUCUUGGCCCCUCCUCAAUCUCGUGAUGAUGAUGACGGAGAUGAGUAGUUAGCUGAGGUACAACAGCAGCCUCGUCUGCAGCAGAGGCCGCAACAGCAGAAUCAGGCAAAAGCUCAAACUCGUCAAUUAAGGAUCCUAACAGAUCAUCAUCCCAGCAAUCAUAUGCUUCGGUGGUGCUGCUUGAGGACCCCUAAUCGAGUCCUCCAUUGCCAAAAGACCAUUAUCCGAAUCAUGAAUCCUCUGCCUCUUGACCGUAUCACCCAAAACUGUAACGGCAUCAUCAGAAUCGGAAUAGGAAUCAGGGAAACACGGACGCUUGAGAGAAGAGACAGUGGGCCUCAAAUCUUGACCCCCCAUCUCCAAUUUCUUCACGAAACACAACACAAACAGAAGAAAGCAGGGGGCUUUCUGCUAAAACCAAAACCCUAAGUGGGUAAUGUGGAAGAAGAAAAAGCAACACUUUCCAAACACAAGGGCUAAUAACAAAGAUCAGCUCAGAGUGCGACUGAAUUGAUUAUACGGGAUUUGGGAACUAGGGUUUCUUGUUACAGUGUUAGACAGACAGAAAUUAAAGAUACCGAGAAAUAAAACAGAAGAAAAGGCAAGAACUGAACCUGGAACUUGGAAAAAGUUGUCGAUUUUCUUCUCAAAGAAGAGGAUGCAUUCGUCCCCAACUUCCAAUUUCAACAAACAGAGAGAGAUCAAGCGACAGAGAGAGAGAGAGAGAGCAACAAAUUUGAAUUGACGCACACCGAGAGAACGCAACAACGCAACACGACCAUUUGAGCGAGAGUGAGAGAGCGCGAGCAGAGAGAGAGAGAGCGAUCCAAAGAUCCAGUGAGAGAGUGGGAUGAGGGUUUUGAAAUUUAAAGAAUGGAAAAUAUGACCGUUUAGGAAUUGGACCGCUUAAACGCGGGUUUCAUCACGUGCCAAUUUCUUUCUGCUCUUAGGCGCCUACGAGUGGGAAGCCCUCCCCAACCCAGCCCAAUUGUGUACCGAAUGACUAAAUUACCCUCGAAUUACAAAUCACAUGGAAUCCGGAGCUCGGGGUAUUUUAGUCAAACCAAAAACUCAAAAACUCCAAAGGAUCGCAGAAUCGUAUCACCGUCUUGGUUACCGAGUUGUUUGUUUGAUCCAGAUGUACGUGAGAAGUGUGGCGUUUGGGAGUACGCGAUGCGAGUAAGGUGUUCGAUAAGAUUUUGAAAUCCAUAGAAAUUGUCGUUGAAUUUGUUCAUCAUCAAUCAUUUUGAGUCAUUCUGUAAAAAAAUCUAUUAAAUAUAUAUAUAAUAACAAAAAUACUCUCAAUUUAAUAAACAUUGAGCUAAAAUGAUUUGAUAAAAAUUAAGAAUAUUUUUAUCAUUUAACCUUAUUUAAUGAAAAUUUUACACGAAAUGACCAAAAUGAUUGAUGAUGGAUAAACUCAUAAACCACUUCUAUAGAUCUUAAAUCUCAAGGUUCGAAGUGAUCAGUUAUGUUAAUCUCAAAGACCAUUUUGACUAUAAAACUUUAAUAGACCACAGACAUCAAAAUUGUCAAAUUCCUCAUCCGUAUUAUUUCCACAAUCAUCUUUAUUCCCAAUGACACAUCCCGACCGAGAUCAAGGCAUGAUGGCCGUCACGUGAGAGUGACGUGGCCAUGUGCACAUUGCGGAAGCGAUAACAAUACGAAUUAUACGAAUAAUUAAAAACUGAAUUACUAGAGUGCACUACUAAACAGAAAGUGAUAAGAGUUAGUUACAACAGUAAACACUUCUAAUCAGAGCAUAAAAGUCUAGGUGCAGUCCAGUAGGACAAGUACUAAUUAUACAGUACCAAGAAUAUCCUACUAUUAUUUGGAUAAGUCAAAACUGCCGACGUCCUCAAGCCACCAACAACAAUCUUACUUAAAAUCUGGAAGGGCGCAAAACAGAAAACGUGAGUGGGCAAAAACAAUGUUUUACAAAAUCAUUUUCUUUAUCAACAUAUCUAACCCCUCGCUGUAAAACAUGUAUAAUUUUUCCCAGAAUCAAGAUAUAAGCAUAUACAUAUAUGAAAUCAUAUCAAUUCAAUUCAUGCUUCACAUAAUCAUAUUCAAAUGUAUGAUAUGCCAAGCAAUUUAUGUAAGAAUAAAUUCAUAGAAAUAUGAUAUGUUAACUGGAACCCCUGUGGUAGUUUGUAUGGCUGAAUUCAUAGCUCAAAAGUAAUCUAGCCGGAGUCACUACAAUGACCUAUAUGGGUUCGAAGGAGAGAGAGUGAGUGAAACCGAGGGAGAGUACGGGAGUGAGAGAGAGAAGGUGAUGUGGAUGUGUGUGUGGUCCUAUCUGCACAUCCACCAAUCAAACCAAUAUUUUCUUCACUUGCAAUUGGGUCCAUCAUAAUAGGGAUUCAUCAAAUUGGUCCUCAAACCAAAACUUAGUCACACCAAGCCAUCAACGUUCAAGGUUAAUUCCGUUUUUUCACGUCAUCGAGAAUAAAAUAAUGUACAUAUCCGGGAUGGGUUGUGACAAUCUCCCUACCUUAUAAAAUUUCGUCCUCGAAAUUACAUACAACCAAAACAUCUACUAAUAAUCAUAAAACAACCGUGAAUACAUCUCUCUCAUCCGAUCCUCUGUCUCCUAAGUAGCUUCUUCCAUUGAAUGAUUUCUCCACAAGACUUUCACCAAGCGUACUGUCUUGUUCCUUAGUUCCUUAUCCUUCCAAUCCAGCAGAGUCACUGGCUCCUCAUCAUAAGUCAAGUCCGAAUUGAUUUCCAAAGGUUGAGGAGGAAUCACAUGUGAAGGAUCUGAAACAUAAUGUCGAAGCAUCGAAACAUGAAAUACAUCGUGCACCUUGGACAACUUUGGAGGCAACUCAAGCCUGUAAGCAACCUCACCUUUUCGAGUCUCGAUCCAAGACUUCCUCUCGCCUUUUCAAGUCUCGACCCAUGACUUCCUUCCUCUGCAAGGUAAUUUCUCUCAUGUUCUACAAAUUUUGUUUUUAAUUUCAUGGGUUUUGCAGAUUUUAUUUUCAAUUUCAUGGGUUCUGCGAUUUGUUUUGGGUAUGCUAUUUCUGAACACUAUUAGUUGAAGCUAAUUUUGGGGUUCUGAAGUAGGUAGGUGUAGAGAAAAUUUCAAUAUUUAAGUCCAUUUGUUGAAUUUGCAUGUUAAAUUUGAGUUGGGAACUUUGCUUACUUGUUACCCAAUUGGAUUUUUGAGCUACUUUUGCAAUUUCUUCGUCUUAAUUUGCGAACAAUUUGAUCAUGUUUGACUUAUCAUUUUGUUUUUGGGGUAAUUUGUCAAGCUGGUAAUAUUUUUACCCCAUCAAUUCGAAAAGUUUUUUUAUAGAUCCUUUUGAUAUUGGUGGAGAAAUCGUAGUUAUAUCAGUCAAUCCGAUCGUCGAUAAUUCUGGUGGAUGCUUGAUUUUAGUGCUGCUGGUGCUGGAUACUUAGUCCCUUGAUAAUAUUCUUCUCUGCAUGUAUCUAAAUUUGUCGGUAUAAGUUUUCAUAUAUUUUUUAUUUAUAAAUUUGUGAGUGUACUAAAGAGAUCAAAUGUAUUAUUUACCUCCUCAAGUUUGAUAGUUUUGAUAUAUAUGUGUAUAUAUUCUGAUGCUCUUUUGGCUUUCCUUGGUUAAAAUGAAGAUCAAUUAUUGAUGCUUUCCAAUUUCUGUAUGUGCUGCGUCACAUUAUGUUGAUUGCUCUGUUGAGUCAACAAAUAGAGCAACACUGUGGAACUUAGCUAAAGUCAGCUAUAAAUUUUGUUAAAAUCCUAAUGAAACAUACAGAGCACGACAAUGAAAUAUACAGAGCAACAUGAUUCGGAUUCAGGACUACCUUUAUUUUCAUUGUGUUAGAAUGCUUAUGUUAUAAUUGUGUUGGAGAUGUUAAAAUUUUAGAUUUCAAUUUUGUUUUCAUUUUUCUAAAAAAAAAAAAAAACCGAACCGGGCCGAAACCGAAUCGAACUGAACCGAAAUUUCGGUUCGUUUUCGAUUUUGGCAAAAAAUCGAACCAUUUCAAACUGAACCCAACCCUAGUGUGCAUACACUGGGAAGCCUGCAGCCUCCUCUUCUGAUGUCUAUGCUUUUUAUAUGUGCUGUCUUUUUUUUUAAAUCCCCCUCCUCUUCUUUAACUAAUCCACAUGCCAAUGGUAUUCUAAAUUCCAUCCCUUGUAAAAAGAGAGCAACACCUCUUCAAUUAAAUGGGCAGCUCAUUGACGCAAUUUGAACUAAUUUUUAAUGCCCAAAUUCAAGCACACAUAGCAGCAACCCACUUCGUUCUUUCUUCGUACUUUUUUGGUAUUUCCUCUGAAAAAUCUACAAUUAUCUCCAAACUAUGAUUUCUAUAAAAUUCACACAUAACACAUCAAACUUUCAAAUUUAAUUAUAAAAUCAUGACUAAAUAAUAAGUAAAAGAGGUAUAAAAAAUGCAUAUAAUAACAACCUAACAAAUUUCAUUUGAUUAGAGUCUCGGUAACGAUCACUGUCACAUUUUUUUUAAGGAUAAAAUAGAAUUUCAUUCAUAAAUAACUAAGUCAUACAAUCACACACACAUAUGGAAACACUGUUGCAUCAAGAUAACACACAAUAAAGGCCAAGACAACCGCCAACUGCCGGAAACAAAAAUAAAAACGAAAAUUAAACAAGAGCAGAGGCAACAUGAAGACAGCCUACCACGACGAGCAAUCGCAGAAGAAUUGAACUCUGAAAUUUUUUAUGUACAGCAAAGCCGGCAGGUACAAGAAGUCAAGGCGAUGGCGGUGAAGAAGAAAAUAUAUAAUUUAAACAUAGAAAAUAUAUAAUUUUAACUAUGGGGGUGUAAUGAAUUGUAAGUUGGUUAACUCAACCAAAAUGCAGCUCUUAAGCAAAACAUUCAAACUCAUUGAGACCAGUACGCUAAUUAAGUCCCGGGCAAGAGUUAAUCAAAUUUUCUAUACAACUAAUAGAAACCGAAAUCCAACUAAUGGGGGAGGGAGAUUCGAACUCAGGGUGUCAUUCAACAUUGAGAAGGUAUCACUAGACUAAGCGCUUAUGGGAUUGAAAUUUAAUACCGAAUCCAACGUCUGGUUACGAAUUUGUAACAUUUCUUUAUUUCUAGGGUUUAGGUUUCUAUCAAUUUGGGGGUUCUAGGGUUCGGGUUUAUGACAACCAAUUUAAAGUUAGGGUUCAUAUUAGUAAAUCACUAGUGCUUAAUACCAGCGCGUUGCCGCGGGUUUGAAGUUAAGAUGAGAUGUUAAAAAUGAAAAAAUUUCGGUUACAAAAUAGAAACAACGAUAACAACAAUGAAUUUGGAAAAGCGUUAACUGGAAAAGGUUAAAUUUAGAUAAUAUAAAGAUACAAAUUAUAGUUAUCCAUUCUAUUGUAGCAGUUCUAUGUAUUUCUAGACCAGGAGGAUUACAUUCAGUUACAAAAAAAAAGAAAUUCUUGGUACAAAGAUAUAAAAAACAUUAUAAUAACUGAAUUUCUUCCAAUAACCCCAUCUAAUAUACUUUGUGUUCCAGCUUUUGCAUACAAAAAAUGAGGAGAUGCUGGGGAUGCAAAAAAUAUUGUUGAGUUUUGGGCAAAAAAAGAUAUGUACAAGUUUUUAAACAUUUUAAACAUGAUUUAAUAUAGAUAAACGAAACACGGUAAACAUUCUUGAUCAGAGUAGUGAAAGGUGUCUUCAGCCCUUGUUGUCAUUAAUAAAGCAACCUGAACAAAGAGGAAUAGAAAUAACAUAUUUAGACAGGAUUUAGUAUCACAUUUAAAUGGUAAUGGAGGAAAAGAUAAAACAACUUGAAAGCAUACUAACCUAAUCAUUGUUUCCAGUGCUGCUGUGUGGCUUUGCCUGAGCAGGAGAUGAAUUUUUUUUUAAUAACUUGAUCUGAACCUCAUUACAUUCUCUUGGAUCAACUUGUGAAAUUUUUUCAGAUUCACUGAUUUGAAUGAUUAUGCAACAUUAAUAUAGUUGUUCACAGAAAGAAGAAAAGAUGAUUCCUAGUUAUAAUUCAUAGUAUUGAAAAUGUUUGAUAUGUAAAUUUUAAGAAAGUUGAAGUGAACACAUGGGAAUUUUUGAAAACAUGAUGUAAAAAUAUAGAGAGAUUAUAUUCACACAUCCCAAAUCACUUCACUCACACUCUUUUAAAAUUUUAAUAUUUUCUACACACCACUAACACUUGAUAGAAAAAUAUUAAAAAAUUAAAAAGGUGUGAAAAAAAUAACUUAGGGUGUCUGAAUAUAAUCUCCCAAAAUAUAAACAUUAUACUUAAGAAUAAUAUGAAAUUAGAUAUCAAACUUUUGUUCACCAGAAAUUUAAAGCGCUUUUCUCACAGAUUCUCUUUUUCGUUUAUAAGAUUGAUCACUUGAUUCAAGUGUUGAUAACGAUUCAAAAACAAAAGAAAAGGACUAGCAAGGGCGGGAGAAGCAAACAAAGACAACAAAGAAAGAAAACGACUGCCAAAAGCGGGAGAAGCAAAGAAAGGUCCUGUUUCUCUGCCCUCCCACUUCCUAUGCACUUUCAUCCUCUCCUAUUUGUACGAUGACGGUUAAAUCAUAUCAACAUUUUAUAUUACUAUUACUUUUUGUCUUAUUAUCGCUAUAACAAAAUUAAUAUAAAAUAUUAAUAUUGCUUAACCGUGACCGCAUAAAAUAAAAAAUAAUGAGAGUGUAUGGGAAGUAUGGGAAGUGGGAGAGCAGAGAUCCCGGGUCCGCAAAGAAAAACAACAAAGAAAAAUUGAAAAGAAAACGGAAGAAAGAAGAACAAAAGUAGAGAUACUACCUUGUGGUGAUGACCGACACGUGGGCGGUUAUAAAUUUUUAUUGUUUGUUGUGCCACAAAUCAUGUGGCCCGGUUUUAAUAACAUUUUUUAAAUUUUUUUUUUUUGUCUUCCCAUCAAAUAUACAUGGGUUUAAAAUGUUAAGAAGGUAUAAACUUUUUAGGGUUGUACUAUCCGCGCACCCAUUUUACUUCUUAUACAUUGUCACAGCCCGUCCUGGAGAUACAUUUGACGGGAAUGUGAAAUGACGGAUUUAUCCUUAGCUGUUAUUAAGGUACGUGUGUGUGAUAUGUUUGAACAUUUCAUGGUUCCUAAGUUUUUGGAAAAUUAAUUAAAUUGGAUUAAAGGUUGAUUUAAAAUUUGGUAUGUAUUUUUGUGUGGUUAAGGAAUUAAAAGACUUGGAAUUUUGGUGGGUUUUGUUGGACCACACAACACACACACGGGUCAACCUCAACCCUUUCCUUCCCCCGUGCUGCCUCUCUCCUCCCUCAGGGUUUUCUCUCACUCUUUAACUCUCGACUUGUACGGACACACUCACCACCAAGCCUACAAGCACGGAUCGAAGGUUGUGAAGGUACCAUAGUGCUCGUGAGGACUAUACGAACUCAACCACACCUAUUUCAGGUAAGAAAUCUUUCGAUUUCACAUCGAAAUCCCAAGCACCGAUUUUGGCACUGUUCAUGAACUUUUUGAUGGUUGAUUUUUAGGACAAUCCAAGCUCAUAGUGAGCUUAGUGAGGUCUCAAGGAAGCUUGGAGUGCUUCGUUGGAAGGAUUUGGACGUCGGGAUCACGAGGGUUAAGUUUGGCCGGUUUUACUUGGAUUUUUCCGGUGAGAUUUAGUUGUUUUUGAAGCUUAAAAGUAGUAUAUUGUGAUUCUACAUGUUGAGGGCUUUAAAUUGAUAUAUUAUACGAAGAAAAUGGUUGAGAAACGAAGGAGAACAAGGCAUUUGAAAAAUGCCCAGAAUCCGGCCACCGGAGAAAAACCAGUCCGGCGAACUCGCGAGGAAGAAGGUGCGCGUGGACCCGUGCCUUCCUUGGCGCGUGGGGGCGCGUUCCACAGUAAAAAAUUAUUUUAAAAAUUUGUCGACGUCCGUGACGUCGAGUAGGUCAAUGUGGUAUAUUCAUAUACCCAAAUUGAGCACCGUAUGAGAAAGUUAUUACGAUUAUUGGUUAGGUGCUUUAAAUAACGUUUUAUAGUUUUCACAUUUAGGUGAAAAUGUGAAUUGACGAUCCGACCGUUGGAUCGUCACCAAACUUUGAUACGUUGUAAUACAUAAUAUUUGAGGAUUAUUGGAACUUACGGAUUGGGAAUCCGAGUUACGGAUCUUUCGGAAUUGGAGUUAUAAGUUCAAAAAAUAAAAUGUUAACCGUCACUUAGUUUUGGAAAUUGACGGAGAUCCGACCGUUGGAUGGUAAUGAAAUUUCAGGAUGUUGUCCUAGAGAUAUAUUGUGGACUCUGGAAGUUAUGGAUUUAAAAUCUGAGUUGCAGAUCUUUCGGAUCAAUCUACGUAGUGACGUAUUUUAUAUAAGUUAUAUUCUAUUGAUAUGAUUUCUGAGGUUGGAUUUGAUUAUUGUUCUAGGCGGCGAUCGUCAUGACGCCUUGAUGAGUUGUGCUAGGGAGUUGUAGGGCGAACUCCAGGUGAGUGGGCAGUUUUGUUUUCGUAUUACCUAUAUACUAUUGAGUUUUCCCAGAAAUUGAAUUUAAAUGAAAGCAUGAUUUAAAAUGCCAUGGAUAGAUUUAUAUGAAAAGUAUGAUUUGAAAUGCCAUGCAUAGAAGUAUAUGAAAAGCAUGAAUUGAUAUAUGAUGUAUAUAUAUAUAUAUAUAUGUGAAUUGGUGCUGUGGACGCACAGGUAAGUAUAAGGUGAGUUUUAUAUUAUUCAUGUGCAUUGUUGAUGUGUAUAUUAUGGAUAGCUCAUAACCUGCAAUCAUGGUGUUAGUGCUUAUAUUAUUCACCACACCGCACGCUCGUCUUGGAUCCAAGUAGGUGGAUGUCGUACAGACCAAGUGAAGGUUCCGACAUGCUAGUCGUAUAGAUUACUAGAUGUGAUUCCGACUAGUGGGUGACCUUAGAUUAUGUGCACAGAUGAUUGAUGAGAGAAGCACUAGAGCGUAUUAUUACACCAUCCAUGUCGUACAGACUACUUCAGGUAGUUCCGACUUAUCUGCAGUGUAGUGCCGUACAGGUCAUCGAGGUGACUCCGGUUGGAUUGGAUGUUGAGCUAUGGAAUUAACCGUACAAGACCAACUGCAGGGUCUCCGGUUAAUUCAACUUUUCACCUGUUACAUUGAUGCAUCAUUUAUUUUGUUUUCGAAAUUACAACAUGGCAUACUUUCGGGUUUUAAAGAAAAAUUGAUGAUUCGAGAUUUAUGGAAAGUAUUAUGUUAUUAUACUAUUUUCUGGGAAAAGUAUACAGGUUUUACAGUGAGGGGUUAGAAUUAUUUUUGGCGAAAUGUUUUUGAAAAGCUUGGUUUUACUGACCCACUCAAUUUUGUUUUUCGCCCCUCCAGGUUCUUGAUAGCAGAGUUUUGGUGGCCACGAGGAAUCCAACGGUAUUCUGACAGAAAUUACAAAAGUAGGACUCACCCUCGAGGGUUUCCAUUUUAAUAAUUGUAUUUUAAAAGCUUCCGAACUGUGUAAAUGGUUACGUCACUCUCAUGUGACGGCCAACAUGCCCUCAUUCGGGACGGGGUGUGUCAUACAUUCUUGAUAAUUUAUAUCUGUAAAUCUUCUUCAAUUCAUCCGAUCCGACGGACGAAAAUUAAGAAGAUGUGUGAAAAGGAAAAUGAGGUGUGUGGAUAUCAUACCCUAAUUUUUAUUGUUUGUUAUCACAAAUUUUUUUUAAAUAAAUGUACAAUGAUAAAUUAUAUAAGUACUAAAACUCAGUUCGGUAGCACAAUAAAGAACAAAGAAAAAGUCACUUAUUAUAAAUCACAUGCUUUGCUUAUGUUUGAGCAGCUUCGGGAAUCGAUGGUUUUCAUAUCUUGCAAAUUCGGACUCUUAACUUCGCUAGCUUUAUAUACGGAUAUAAUUUAUCGAUAGAAGUUGGAGCUAUAUUUUUCAUUUACCCUGGUCAAACAAAGCAUAAAUUUUUAAAUUUCUCUUUCGUUCUUUGUUUAUUAUUUCCUAUUUUCUCUACUCUAAUUUAAACAUCAAAUUCAUCCAAAAACAAAUUUUUUUAAUAAUUGUUUCCUAUUUUCUGCGCUCCAAAUUAAACAUCAAAUUUACCCAAGAACAGAAAAUAAGCAAAAAUAAGUGGAAAAAGAAAAAGAAAAAGAAAAGAAGAACGACAUACUUGAAGUAGAACCAACGUGAAAAUGGCAACCCAACAACUGGGAAAAACGAACAACACCGUUUCCUAAAAAUACAAAACAGAACCAAAUCAUGCACCCAUAAUAAUAAUGACGACACACAAACGAAAAAAAGACGAAUCACCGUUUGCUAAAACGCCUAAGAAAGAAGCAGAAAAAACAAAGGAAAAUUUGAGGAAAGAAAGAUAUAAAAAUGAAAGAAAAAGGAAGAAGCCCUCUCAGCAGAAAGUCCCCCGACGAUCAACACGUGGAAGACAAAAAGCAGAGCAAAAUCAAAAAAAUAAAAUAACCAAAGGCAAGGUGGAAGACAUCGGGACUUCUCACAAUUUUUAAUAUUUGUUUUCCAUGCAUUCAAAAAAAUUUAUAAUUUUUUAUUGUGUUAUGUGCCACAUACGUGGAUUAACUCAUUUUUUUAAAUAUUUGUUGUCAGUUUUUUUAUUAUUAAUUUAUCUUUCUUUGUGCCCACACUCUGCAAAGACUCUGCAUUCAAAUUUUUUUAUAAUAUUUUAUUGUGUUCCGUGCCACCUACUGCAGGAGACUCGGCGUGAAAGACAAAAAGCCGAGCAAAAUAAAAAAUAAAAUAAUCAAAAGGCAAAGGAAUGGAGACAGGUGGGUUUCUCACAAUUUUUAAUAAUUAUUUUGUCCAUGCAUUCAAUUUUUUAUAAUUUUUUAUUGUGUUGUGCGUCAGAAACCAUGUGGCCUGAUUUAAGUCAUAUUUUUUAAAUAAUUUUUUGUCAGUUUUUUAAUUAAUUAUUUUAUCUUUCUUUAUGCCACAACUCGACGAUCAUAGACACAACAUGGGCAAUACAGGUAUUUUACUGUGUGAAGCAGGCAGCAAAACGGUAUUGGAACGAAAAAAUCAAGGGCAUUUCCGCCCUUUUACUAUUUAUGAAUAGUGCUAAAACUCAACCGAGUUUUAGUAUAUAUAAUUUGUGUAUUCAAUUUCUUUUAAAUUUUUUAGAGCUAAAUAGUCAUUUCAUGUUAAAAUACAUGAGUGAUUUAAUAAUAUAUAUUUAUGUAAAAUGUAUUUAACAAUAUGUGGGAUACUAAUAAAAAAACCCAUUACCAUCGUCAAUCUUCAAACAUAGUUCUGUGGUCCAAUUACAAAUCCAUGUUUACUAUUCUACAAAUCAGGACAUGGAGUUAGCGUGGUCAUAUUGAAGACUAAUAAUAUUCAAAAAUUCCAAGCGUCAACUCCACGCUUGUCGGGAAGAUUAGACCGCGUCAGUCAACACUGGCACCAUACAGCUCUUGGUUGAGUAGAAAAUCCUUUCAGAAAUUCCAAGCGUAAAGAAAGGAUUAGAAUCUCUGCACCUCUAAAGUUGUUACUAGCUCCCAUAUUUAUUUGUGACGCAUACAAACUGGCAAAAAAAACAUAUCAUACUGCAACUCAAAACCAUGACAUUUCUUUAUAUGCUCCUCCUGCUGUCCGCAUUCCCAUUGAUCAAAACGACAUCUAUAUCUUCAAGAAAACAAGCAGAAUCGCUCGUCAAAUGGAAGGACGGCCUUUUUAAUUCAUCAUCAUCAUCAUUAUCGCCACCUUCGCUUCUCAAUUCAUGGUCCCUCACCAACCUCAACAGCCUCUGCAACUGGACUGCCAUUUCCUGCUCCAAAACCAGAAUAAUCUCCAAAAUAGACCUCUCCAAUAUGCACAUUAUCGGAUCACUGUCCCUUUUCGACUUUCCCUUAUUUCCAAAUCUCACCCACUUCAAUCUAAAUGGCAACAGUUUCGGAGGGCGUAUACCGUAUGCCAUUGGAAAUCUCUCCAGGCUCAUAUCUUUGGACUUGGGCAACAACUUUUUUGAUCAACAAAUUCCCUCUGAGAUUGACCAGGUAACAGAGCUUCAGUAUCUAAAUCUCCGCGACAACAGUCUCUCUGGUACCAUCCCUCAUCAACUGAGCAAUCUCCAAAAGGUAUGGUACAUGGACCUUGGAUUAAACUAUUUUAACUAUACUGAUCAAGAUUGGUCAGAAUUUGCAGGCAUGCCUUCAUUGACCUACCUUGAUAUGUCUACGCAACGUGAUAAUCUAUAUCAUUCUGAAUUCCCAGAAUUUAUAUCUCAAUGUCGGAACUUGACGUUCCUCGACUUGUCUCAAAAUAAUUUGAAUGGCCAAAUUCCACCUUCGAUAGGCCAACUCAGGGAGCUCCAGUACCUUGAUCUUUCAUACAACUCCUUAAACUCUUCUAUCCCUUCUGAGCUUGGUCUUUGUACAAACCUCACCCACUUGUCUCUGGCUUCCAAUCAACUCAACGGGGAACUGCCUCUGUCCUUGUCCAAUCUGAACAACCUCGUCGAAUUGGGUUUGGAUAAUAACCGAUUCUAUGGCAGGAUUCCACCUUCGAUAGGCCAACUCAGGGAGCUCCAGUACCUUGGUCUUUCAAACAACUUCUUAGACUCUUCUAUCCCUUCUGAGCUUGGUCUUUGUACAAACCUCACCCACUUGUCCCUGGCUUCCAAUAAACUCAACGGGGAACUGCCUCUGUCCUUGUCCGAUCUGAACAACCUCGUUGAAUUGGGUUUAGAUAAUAAUCUAUUUACUGGUCAAAUCCUUCCUUCUCUGGUCUCCAAUUGGACUAAAAUGGUUUCUUUGCAACUUCAGUCCAAUGAACUCAGUGGGGAGAUUCCGACGGAAGUUGGAAAUAUGAGCUUUCUGUUUACCCUCAAUCUAAGAAGGAACCACUUGACAGGAGUGAUCCCUCAUACUCUAGGCAACUUAGCUGAGCUUGAGCUGCUCGAUUUGUCUCACAACGACUUGAAAGGAGUAAUCCCACGGUUUCUAGGAUUAAGAUUAGAGGUUCUCAAUAUCUCACACAACCAUCUUUCAGGGCAAAUCCCAUCAUUUGUAACCAUGUUAUUUCUUCGUGCCUUUGAUUUUUCUUAUAACAACUUGACUGGCCCAAUCCCAGGCGUUUUCCAAUCGGCACCAGAAAAUGCUUUUGUUGGAAACUCUGGCUUGUGUGGGUAUGUACAGUGUGUAGACAGUAGAUCCACUUGGCCCAACAGAAAUUCCGAAAAGAGUAACAAAAGAGUUCUACUUGGUAUCCUUGUGCCUGUUUGUGGUUUAUUAAUGGUUACAACUGUCAUUGGUCUUAUGUUCCGUAAAAAAUCCAGUCUCGUUUUGAACAAAGUCAACACUUCUGAAAACUUUGAGAGUUUGGAGUCAAUGAUAUUGCAAGAGGAAGUAAAGUUUACGUUUGCAGAAGUUGUGAAGGCUGUAGAUGACUUUCAUGACAAGUACUGCAUUGGGACAGGAGGGUUUGGAAGGGUUUACAAGGCAGAGUUGCAAUCAGGCCAAGUUGUUGCAGUUAAAAGGCUUAACAUGUCAGACUCUAAUGAUAUUCCAGCAAUCAAUCUCCAUAGCUUUCAGAAUGAAAUCCGAACUUUGACAAGCAUCCGGCACCGAAACAUCAUAAGGCUCUAUGGCUUCUGUUCAAGAAAGGGGGGUUGCAUAUUCCUGCUUUAUGAAUACUUAGAGAGAGGAAGCCUAGGAAAAGCUUUGUACGGAGUUGAAGGUGUUAAUGAACUUGUCUGGGCUACUAGAGUCAAAAUUGUGCAAGGACUUGCUCAUGCACUUUCUUACUUGCACCAUGAUUGCUCUCCACCUAUUGUGCACCGUGACAUAACCGUCAACAAUGUAUUGCUUGAGUCUGAUUUUGAGGUUCGUCUCUCAGAUUUCGGAAUAGCCAGGUUAUUGAGUACUGAUUCAUCCAACUGGACAGAUAUUGCUGGUUCAUUUGGCUACAUAGCACCAGGUAAUGUAAACUUAAUUUGUACAUUUAUGGUUCAUCUUUUUGCUUAUUGGGAUAUGUUUUAAGGCAGCUAGUUUUGUUUUUAUUGAUGUGCAGAGCUUGCAUACACUAUGCGAGUCACGGAUAAAUGUGAUGUAUAUAGCUUUGGAGUGGUGGCACUCGAAGUCAUGAUGGGAAGGCACCCAGGGGAUAUGCUAGAGUCCCAGCUACAAGAAUCAUCAAAGUCAAGGAGGGACAAUGUAGAAUUGCUCCUGAAAGAUUUGUUAGACCAAAGGUUGGAGCCGCCAACCAAUGAAUCUGCAAAGGCAGUGGUGCUUGUAGUGACAAUGGCCUUGGCCUGUAUACGAACACGUCCUGCAUCAAGACCCACGAUGUUAUUUGCGGCACAAAAACUCUCAGCUCAAACCCUGCCUUGCCUUCCCGAACCAUUUGGUAUGUUGACAAUCAACAAGCUAAUGGCACUAUGAAAAAUAAAACAAAAAAAAAAAGAAGACAAGGGCGAAUAGCUCAAACUUCCCUUUUGUAUUCCUGCCACACACAAUUCCAUCUAAUUUCUCGUGUAAUACAUCUUCAGUACCGUAAUUACUCAUCUGUAUUAUUUGUCGAAUGUGGAUUAAUGUGUGAAUUUUCUUAAUCGUAAUUGCAUUAAACCGAUAAUCCAUAAUGUGUCACAAUAACUCCACAAUUAAUAAAAAAAAUUGAAUUAUGGAUUUGUGUCCUUCCUCUAGUUCAAAGAGCUACCCUAAAAAAUUGAACCUACAUGGAUAAUUUUCGCCAUGGAUUAUUUUGAAGGCAAACACAUAUGGUGUUGUGCUAGGAUAGCAUCAAAUAUGAAACCAAUAAGCAACAACGGCAAAAUAUGACAAUACAAAAAUCCAAAUGACACAGGAUUUAUACUGGUUCGGCGUAAGCCUACGUCCAGUUCCGAGACGGCGAGAAAAUUCCACUAAUAUCAAAAGGAGAUUACAAAUUGAUGUUUUAACUCUCAAACCCAAAGCCCACAUACACCCAAUAGCUCUCACUCUCACAAAGAAACAAAUGGAGAAGAUAGAAACAUAUACCAAAUUCCUCCUCUCCCAAAAGCCACAAAAUGUAGCACAAAUAUCUUUGAUUGAGUGAUCACUAACAAAGGGGGAUUACAAACAAAUGGGAAGGAGCAGCACUGUUUCAAAUGGGAGAGUCGAAUGCUCUCUCCUCUGCUCUACUUGCUCUCUUCAGAAAAUGAGUUCACACCUUUCCUUUAAAUAAAAAUCAGCCCCUUUUCUUCUCCUCCUUUCUUCCAGCCGAAAACCAACUAAUUAUGGCUUUGAAAAAAAACCACAAAACACGGAACAAAACAAGCCACAAAACAAGGAACAAAACAAGCCACAAAACAAGGAAACAUAAUCCUCAUCAUGAUGUUCCCUCAUCAAUUUUCUUUCAUUCUUUUGUUUUGUUUCCUAGCCUAAUUUGGCCACUAUCCAACAUAUGGAACUACACGUCGAAGUAGAUUUGAUCUUCCAGGCAUUCUUAAACUUUUCCGCUAUGUCGAAUAUAGGUUUGUGCCUUUCCUCUCUAAAUCUGCAACAGCCAGAACUGCUUUCACAUUCACACUACAGCACAAUAGAAGACACUUCGACACGACAAUCUGUUAAAUUAGCAAAUGGGGAAGUGGUGGAAUAACACCGUAGUAUUGUGAGCAAGUCUCGGGUGUCAAGGCCACGGGGGACGUCCCUGUGGCUUUUCAACAAAUUAACCAAACAAUGUUGUAAAAACUGACUUUGAGAGUGAGGAACAGUAAAAGGUAGGUGCUUUGGCCCUCCUCCACGCAUCAUAUAUACCGACGAAAAGAGUACAUGUUGUCUAUAGAUUUCCUCAGGAUUGACAAAAAUACAGAAGAAAACCACCAGCUAGACAAAAUUGACACAAGUCCUCGGCCUGCUCCGCUUCAAGAUCAUGACGAUGAUAAUGAUGAUGGUGAUGAGCAGUUGUCAUCAGGUGCAGCAGGUUGUUGUGCAUGAUCUUGGUUAGGGUACUCACUACGCAUCAUCUCUCCUCCAAUAUGAUCAAAGAUAUUCGCAAUCAAGUCCUCAUAAUCAUCUCAUUCAACUGUUGUUCUUUGCCCCGUCUCGAUCUCAUCUGCAACAGAGGCCGCAGCAGCAGCAGCAGGAUCAGACAGGAGAUCAAACUCUCCCAUCAAGGCUUCCAAAUUGAAUCUCAAAAGAUCAUCAUCAUCUUUUCUCUCACUGCCUCUCUAUCUGACCCUGCAGUGCAGCAGGGCAGACGCCUAACAAACUGCAAAACCACAAUCAACACUUUGAAGAACUCUUCAAAAUGAGAUAAUUUUAAUACAGUCCACCACUUCAAACCAAAAAGUGCAUACAUAGACAAGAUGAAACAACAAAUAUGCCACAAAUUGAAGCAUGAAAAGGCAAGCAUACCUUGCCUGCAGAUGAUAUACUAUCGAAGGGAGGAACAGCCCUCCUUGCAAUAUAUACUUCUUGACUUUACAUAAAUUUGAAGGUCAAUAUUGUAGAAUAACAAACAAGAGUAUAAAGCAUAGAAGGAAGCGUUGUUCAAUUCGACAAGGUAAGACUUUUCUGAAAUCUAAAAUCACGACCAUCAUCGUGCACUAUCUUAAUACCGAAAAAGGUAGGUGCAUUGGCCCUCCUUGCAAUAUAUACGUCUUGACUGUACAUAAAUUUGAAGGUCAAUAAUGUCGAAUAAGAAACUAAAAUCACAACAUAUGAGUGCGAUGUUCACCAUCAUGGUGUACUCUCUUAAUACCUGACGUGGAAAACAGGAAAUUGAUGACCCUUUGCAAAUUUUGAAUAAUUUGAUAAUUUAUAUUACUUAUUCAUCUUAGUGUGUCUCUAUGCAUGUCAAACGAUAACAAACAUCAGAAAUGCAGUUGAAGGCAUUUCUUUCAAAUGAUCAAAAUGACAGUCAAAUAUGGGCUGUGAGGAUUGUCAUGCUCUCACAAAUGCGACAUACAUAAUAUCAGAAACAUCAACAGCUACUGAAACUGAAAACCUAAGAGACAGUAGCUUCAAAAACUAGUCCUACAUGAUGAAGAAAUCCACACCAAAAGAAAGUACACAGGAAACAGCAUGUGAGCUCUGCAUCCUACCUCGUACUUAAAGAGAUGCAAUUUGUAAAGAAAGAAUAAAGUGCUUCAAUUUUUUAGAAUCACGACCAUCCCGUUGAGCAGAGAAAUUAAAGAACUAAUAGGGAAUCGACGUGAAAACGAAGUACUGGUUGUCGACUACCUGACGCCCUCCCCUCCUCCUUUAUCCGGGCUUGGGACCGGUAGCGUAAGAUAAACUUACACGGGCGGAGUUAGAAAAUCAAAGAACUGUAAAAAGAAAAUCAGUUAUGGACAAGAUGUCAAGACCAAUAGAACUGUAAAAGCAAAACAGUCCAAAAACACAACUGAGGACAACAGCGAGAAACUUGCAUUGCUGGUCCAAAACAGAACUGACACAUCUAAUAUAGACUAAGGUAUGAAUACUAAAAAAAAUAAAGAGAGAAAACUUACAUUCCACAAAAAAUCCAUAAAAACAGUGGCAAGAAACAUGAUAAUUGUCCUUAUCAUCAACAAAACUAUCAACACGUUCACAAACUGACACUGAACACACUUACACACCAUGUUACCAUCAAAAUUCAAGCACAAUACACAGAACCUGCACACGCUCACAAGCCACACAUGCAGAGGGAGUAAUUCAAAGGAAAAGAAAACAUUAAUUUGGUUUUCAAAUUUAGUAUAGUAAUUAAAAUCAUCAACCUUGAAACCUUCUGUCAAUUAAAAUAAAAAGAAAGUAAGAAACUUGGGUCGAAAAGAAAUGAAUUAUAAAGCAUUCAGUGCAUUAAAAUUGGAAACGAUCCUAGAAGCACAUGCAUACAGAUGACUAGGGGAAACGCAGUAGAGACCUGAGGUGCAGCAAAAUGAAAGGCAGGCAAUGGAUCAGACCUAUACCAAAUUUCUUAAUUAACUAAUGAACCAAAAGAAAUCAAAGCAUAUAUACUAAGAAUGGAAAUAAAAUAUAUCCUGAUCAUAACUGUGCUUCUAUAUGCACGCCAUGGAAAUUAGACAGCUGCCAUCACGUAUACAUCCCUCUAUUGAUCAUUCACAGAAUCGCUCAUCCACAAACAGUCUGUCCAGUAAUUGAACCCGUCUAACGGUUGGCUGAAUUCGUCAAUUUGAGGCCACUCCCGGGGCAAUUUACCUUCAAGCGUUGUCAACCAUUCUUUAAUGUCUCCACGCACUGCUUCACCAUCUAAAGGAUAUUCCUCGCCGCCCAAGAAUACCGGAGAAGAAGGAACAUCACUCAUCAGUGGCACAUAUUCAUGACCUGAAAUAUGAGUGGGAAUGGGCAUCACAUUUCCGUUAAUGUAGCUUAUGCACCCCUGGUCGUGAUUGGUAGUGUCGCCGUCCAAGCAUAUGGGAUAAGAAGGAACAUCACUCAUCAAUAUCACACUAUCCUGAUCAGAGAAAUCAGUCGGCUUUGCAUUGCCGUUAAUGUUGGUUAUGCACUCCUGAUCCCAAUACCUAGUGUCAGUAAUCAUAUUGCUUUCAGUUCCAACAAAAGGCACAACAGCAGGGGUAUUGGUGAUCACAUUCACAUUAGAAUGUUUUUGUGAACCCGGUUCUUUUCUUGCUCUCUUUCUCUUAAUCAGCAGCUUCUCAUUCGAUACUUCUUUUAUUGCCCUCUUAAUCGGUGGCUUCUCAUUGAAGUCAUGAGUUGGACUUGAGGAAUUCAUCUUGUUUCCGCACCUAGACCUCGGAUUCCUUUUAAGUCGCGAAAGAACGACCUUUGGGGCCAGCAACCACAUUAGGAAGAAGACUGUACUCUUCUAACAGCCAGCCGCCAUUGUUGUUAGAACCCUUGUUGUUAUACCUGAAAUGCCUUUUAUCCCCGAUUGGAAUUCCGUCCAAACCUAAAACUUUGUCGGAGGAUGUUUCGCUCCAAGUGCCUCCGGCUUCGAUCUGGCGUUUGCUGCGGCUAUCGCUGUCGCUUCUAGAACGCAGCUCAUAGAAGAAGAACAAGUCCUGAUCGAGUAGGGAAUUUCCACCGAAUUGCUCCCAAACCACCCAGGGUGGUGUUUGUCCAAAGAGAUUGAACUCGUGAACAAACGGGUUGCCUAAGGGCUUUCCGGAGAGGGCUCUAUCGCGAAGAUAGGAACUGACCAAUUCUUGAUCAGUAGGAUGAAACCGAAAACCCAAUGGCAUACCGUAAUAACCCACCUCCAUUGUUAAACGCGAUUUCAAUUCAAUGCAAUUCAAAACAAAACACAAUGCAGCAGCAAAAACCCUAAAUUUUUCUUUGGGCACAAAAUAAAGAAGAGAAAAUAAGCGAGAAAUUAAAGAUAAGAAAAAGGGAAACCUGGAAGCCAAUUUCGCUCGCUCGCCGAGGAGAGCAGCUCGUCGACGUCUCCUCAAUCGCCGUCUUCGUCCCCAAACAAGAGCAACUGAAGAGGAAUCGAUUUCGAGUAUUCUGUAAUUCAAUUCAACCGGAGACUGUUGGAGCACUGAAUUCUAGUUCUGGUUCAAAUUCGAACGCGCAGAGAGAGCGAGAGAGAGAACGCAGAGAGAGCGAGAGAGAAAGAUCUUGAGAGAGAGAUCUAGAGAGAGAGAGGAUUUGAAAUUUAAACGGAAGAAAAUAUGACCGUUUGGUUUGGGAAUUGGAUGUUAACGUCGCAAACUUGCAAGGCUCACCGCUUAAGCGCGGGAUUACGUGGCAUUUUCAUAUCUACGAAACCCUAAAUCCCCAAAUUGUGGAAUCUGGAUUCUCGCCAGAUUCUUUUUAUGAGGAUCCAGAAAAUUCAUGAAUCAUAUCGAUUUAUUGUACAUCGUGUGGUCAAAAAUUAUUUUAAAAUAUUUUAUUUAAAAUUAAACAAACAGUACUUGACAAAAACUGACUGUAUAAUAUAAGAUAAACGAACAUAAUUUACGGAUCCUCAGUAUCCUUACCAAAAUGAUCCGGAGAGGAUCCUGUUGGCAAAUUGUGAGCCAAAUGACUAGAAUAACGCAGGAAAAAAAAAAAGAAUUUCGAUUGGGCUGGGUUCCCUUUUUUACUUCUUGGCCUAUUUUUUAUUCAGCUGGGUUCUUUUGGUUUUCCGGCAUUCUAUUGGCAAUUUUUUUUUAGAUUUUUUAUAUAGAUUAAUGAACCCAAACAUUUAAGGGUGAAUGUUGGAUUGAAAGUUUCGAUUUCGACAUGAAAAAAGAUUUGUUUCGUAUUUUUAUUAACAUAGCAUUGCAUGAUUGACACGAGAAGUCAUAGUCACGAUGUACUAAUGUCAUAAAAAUUGCUCAAUAUGGAUAUAUUUCGCAAUAGGAAAUCGUGACUAUGACUUAAACAUAAGAAAUCAUAGGAAAUCACGAUUUUUUUUAUUUCCUAUGUCUAACCUACAGUCACGAAUUCCUAUGAUUGACACAAGAAGCCAUAAUCACAAUGUUCACAUGGCGCUGCAUAUACAUUUUUCAUAGAAGUGACAAGAUUUUCUCCCAACUCUAAUGCACCUUUAUGUUCUUCCUAUCCAAAACUAUGUUGGAGAAGAUUUCAUAAGAAACACGUCCAGAAUCCGUCAUUACCAGAUUGAUUAUUCAUGAAACGAAAUGUAGAGGUCGAAACAAACAGUGAAAAACUGAGUACUACUGUUCGCUACGACAACAAUGUCUGAAAAUUGAAACAAAAACUCAAAGUGUGCUGAAAGAAAUGACAAGAACAAAAGUAAGUGCAAUCAAAAGUAUUGGGAACUUCAUGUAUAUUCAUAUGUAUAUUGUCUACAGAUUUCCUCAAGAUUGACAAAAGUACAGAGUAAGACCACCAGCUAGACGAAAUAACAAACUGAAAACUAUUCUAUCCACAACAACAACAAAGCAUUUUCCCACUAAGUGGGGUCGGCUAUAUGAAUCCUAGAAUGUCAUUGCGCUCGGUUCUGUAUCACGUCUUCCGUGUAAAUAAAAAGACCGAAAACUAAUAAACUAACUAUGAUUAAACCGGAAGUCGGAAAAAAAAAAAGCUGAAAGGUAACCGUGCUCAUCUGAAUUCUUGAACUCUACAAGUAGUAUAAAAACAAGAGCUGACGCUAAUAGCUUGACAACUUGAUUCACGAAAGGCGUGUAUACUCCGUGUAAAGUCCUCUUCCUCCUGCUCCGCUUCUAGAUGAUGAUGAUGGUGAGCAAGCAAAUCAAGAGAAAACGGAGAACCGAGGCCCGUGGCCUUCCUAUGUUUCCAACCACAACUGGCAAAAUAAUGAUUUGAACAGGAGGGAAGGGAUGAUGGUGAUGAGCAGAGUAGUGUGAUCAGGUUCAGUAGCUUGAUGUACAUGAUCUUGAUUUGGGUUUUCAUCAUCCUCUCCUCCAAUAUGAUUAAAGAAUUCAGUGAUCAAGUCCUCCUCAUCAUCCAACUCUCUUUCAUCCGUGGUUCUUGGCCCCUCCUCAAUCUCGUG
rnacentral:lncRNA from 1 species